CCUACGGGAGGCAGCAGUAGGGAAUCUUCCGCAAUGGACGAAAGUCUGACGGAGCAACGCCGCGUGAACGAUGAAGGCCUUCGGGUCGUAAAGUUCUGUUGUCAGGGAAGAACAAGUACCGGAGUAACUGCCGGUACCUUGACGGUACCUAACCAGAAAGCCACGGCUAACUACGUGCCAGCAGCCGCGGUAAUACGUAGGUGGCAAGCGUUGUCCGGAAUUAUUGGGCGUAAAGCGCGCGCAGGUGGUUCCUUAAGUCUGAUGUGAAAGCCCACGGCUCAACCGUGGAGGGUCAUUGGAAACUGGGGAACUUGAGUGCAGAAGAGGAAAGUGGAAUUCCAAGUGUAGCGGUGAAAUGCGUAGAGAUUUGGAGGAACACCAGUGGCGAAGGCGACUUUCUGGUCUGUAACUGACACUGAGGCGCGAAAGCGUGGGGAGCAAACAGGAUUAGAUACCCUGGUAGUCCACGCCGUAAACGAUGAGUGCUAAGUGUUAGAGGGUUUCCGCCCUUUAGUGCUGCAGCUAACGCAUUAAGCACUCCGCCUGGGGAGUACGGCCGCAAGGCUGAAACUCAAAGGAAUUGACGG
rnacentral:rRNA from 1 species